CUGAGCCCAGAGACGGGGGACCAGGACCCCGGGAAAGGAGAGCACCAGGACUAGGGGGAGGAGCGGAGGAUCUGGGGUCAGAAGCAUCCAGAGGCGCAGGACCUCCUGCCCCCCGAGGUCUGCAGUCUCCUGAACCCAGCAGCCAUCUACGCCAACAACGAGAUCAGCCUGCGUGAUGUUGAGGUCUACGGCUUUGACUAUGACUACACCCUGGCCCAGUAUGCAGACGCACUGCACCCGGAGAUCUUCAGCGCCGCCCGUGACAUCCUGAUCGAGCACUACAAGUACCCAGAGGGGAUUCGGAAGUAUGACUACAACCCCAGCUUUGCCAUCCGUGGCCUCCACUAUGACAUUCAGAAGAGCCUUCUGAUGAAGAUUGACGCCUUCCACUACGUGCAGCUGGGGACAGCCUACAGGGUCCCUCCAUUAAGCAGUUCAUGGACAUCUUCUCGCUACCGGAGAUGGCUCUGCUGUCCUGCGUGGUGGACUACUUUCUGGGCCACAGCCUGGAGUUUGACCAAGCACACCUCUACAAG
rnacentral:sRNA from 1 species